AACAGGGAAAGCAGGAAGAAACAACCUGGGAUUGGUUUAACACCAAGUGGAUGUUGGUUGGAAAGCUGAAAGUACGUUUCCAGCAGCUGCAGGAUGUGCAAUGCAAGAUUUUGUACCAAAAAAAAGCAACUUUCUCUGUAGAGAAAAGGUUAUGUUUGCAUAGCUUAUCACGAAGCUAUACUGAGGGACUGGACAAAGAAUUUCCCUGCAAUGAAAUUAAGUGGUGCCCUUCAGGACUGCCUGCAGUGCUUGGAGCUGCCGUCAUCCUCUUCCUUGCGGCCCAUCUCCUCCAGAGUGGAAGCAGGGAACGCUGCGAGGGAGAGGGGCAGAGGGCUGAGGGCUGCGGCGGGGAGCAGGACUGGCUCGGGGUGCCACGCGCAGCGCUCGCCUGGAUCCAGACUUUUCGACACCUUUGCAGGAUGGGGAAUUUGGUGCCGUUUUUGCUACUUAACAGCUGUUGGUGCUGUGCCCCUGCUGCUAUGUCCGGCUCCAGCUGCUGGUGCAGUGUAACACCAGGUCAGCCGGGCAUUGCACGCCGCAGUGCUGCCCGGUCAGUGCCCUCUGGUGCAUGCUGGCCAUCACAAAUGUUCCUAUUGUGCUAAAAACCCUGCUAAUUAGUAUGGCUGCUAAUUUUAGCUAAGGCACCCGUGGCUUAAUGGGUUAAAAAGUUAGGUGCAAGGAGCAACUCAGAAGGAUCAGAGCUGAUCUAAUUUAUGACUUGAGAAAUAAGUAAGUUUAAAGAG